UUAAGCGACUAAGCGUACACGGUGGAUGCCCUGGCAGUCAGAGGCGAUGAAGGACGUGCUAAUCUGCGAUAAGCGUCGGUGAGGUGAUAUGAACCGUUAUAACCGGCGAUUUCCGAAUGGGGAAACCCAGUGUGUUUCGACACACUAUCAUUAACUGAAUCCAUAGGUUAAUGAGGCGAACCGGGGGAACUGAAACAUCUAAGUACCCCGAGGAAAAGAAAUCAACCGAGAUUCCCCCAGUAGCGGCGAGCGAACGGGGAGGAGCCCAGAGCCUGAAUCAGUGUGUGUGUUAGUGGAAGCGUCUGGAAAGGCGCGCGAUACAGGGUGACAGCCCCGUACACAAAAAUGCACANNNNNNNNNNNNNNNNNNNNNNNNNNNNNNNNNNNNNNNNNNGGUGACUGCGUACCUUUUGUAUAAUGGGUCAGCGACUUAUAUUCUGUAGCAAGGUUAACCGAAUAGGGGAGCCGAAGGGAAACCGAGUCUUAACUGGGCGUUAAGUUGCAGGGUAUAGACCCGAAACCCGGUGAUCUAGCCAUGGGCAGGUUGAAGGUUGGGUAACACUAACUGGAGGACCGAACCGACUAAUGUUGAAAAAUUAGCGGAUGACUUGUGGCUGGGGGUGAAAGGCCAAUCAAACCGGGAGAUAGCUGGUUCUCCCCGAAAGCUAUUUAGGUAGCGCCUCGUGAAUUCAUCUCCGGGGGUAGAGCACUGUUUCGGCAAGGGGGUCAUCCCGACUUACCAACCCGAUGCAAACUGCGAAUACCGGAGAAUGUUAUCACGGGAGACACACGGCGGGUGCUAACGUCCGUCGUGAAGAGGGAAACAACCCAGACCGCCAGCUAAGGUCCCAAAGUCAUGGUUAAGUGGGAAACGAUGUGGGAAGGCCCAGACAGCCAGGAUGUUGGCUUAGAAGCAGCCAUCAUUUAAAGAAAGCGUAAUAGCUCACUGGUCGAGUCGGCCUGCGCGGAAGAUGUAACGGGGCUAAACCAUGCACCGAAGCUGCGGCAGCGACACUAUGUGUUGUUGGGUAGGGGAGCGUUCUGUAAGCCUGUGAAGGUGGCCUGUGAGGGUUGCUGGAGGUAUCAGAAGUGCGAAUGCUGACAUAAGUAACGAUAAAGCGGGUGAAAAGCCCGCUCGCCGGAAGACCAAGGGUUCCUGUCCAACGUUAAUCGGGGCAGGGUGAGUCGACCCCUAAGGCGAGGCCGAAAGGCGUAGUCGAUGGGAAACAGGUUAAUAUUCCUGUACUUGGUGUUACUGCGAAGGGGGGACGGAGAAGGCUAUGUUGGCCGGGCGACGGUUGUCCCGGUUUAAGCGUGUAGGCUGGUUUUCCAGGCAAAUCCGGAAAACCAAGGCUGAGGCGUGAUGACGAGGCACUACGGUGCUGAAGCGACAAAUGCCCUGCUUCCAGGAAAAGCCUCUAAGCAUCAGGUAACAUCAAAUCGUACCCCAAACCGACACAGGUGGUCAGGUAGAGAAUACCAAGGCGCUUGAGAGAACUCGGGUGAAGGAACUAGGCAAAAUGGUGCCGUAACUUCGGGAGAAGGCACGCUGAUAUGUAGGUGAAGCGACUUGCUCGUGGAGCUGAAAUCAGUCGAAGAUACCAGCUGGCUGCAACUGUUUAUUAAAAACACAGCACUGUGCAAACACGAAAGUGGACGUAUACGGUGUGACGCCUGCCCGGUGCCGGAAGGUUAAUUGAUGGGGUUAGCGGUAACGCGAAGCUCUUGAUCGAAGCCCCGGUAAACGGCGGCCGUAACUAUAACGGUCCUAAGGUAGCGAAAUUCCUUGUCGGGUAAGUUCCGACCUGCACGAAUGGCGUAAUGAUGGCCAGGCUGUCUCCACCCGAGACUCAGUGAAAUUGAACUCGCUGUGAAGAUGCAGUGUACCCGCGGCAAGACGGAAAGACCCCGUGAACCUUUACUAUAGCUUGACACUGAACAUUGAGCCUUGAUGUGUAGGAUAGGUGGGAGGCUUUGAAGUGUGGACGCCAGUCUGCAUGGAGCCGACCUUGAAAUACCACCCUUUAAUGUUUGAUGUUCUAACGUUGGCCCGUAAUCCGGGUUGCGGACAGUGUCUGGUGGGUAGUUUGACUGGGGCGGUCUCCUCCUAAAGAGUAACGGAGGAGCACGAAGGUUGGCUAAUCCUGGUCGGACAUCAGGAGGUUAGUGCAAUGGCAUAAGCCAGCUUGACUGCGAGCGUGACGGCGCGAGCAGGUGCGAAAGCAGGUCAUAGUGAUCCGGUGGUUCUGAAUGGAAGGGCCAUCGCUCAACGGAUAAAAGGUACUCCGGGGAUAACAGGCUGAUACCGCCCAAGAGUUCAUAUCGACGGCGGUGUUUGGCACCUCGAUGUCGGCUCAUCACAUCCUGGGGCUGAAGUAGGUCCCAAGGGUAUGGCUGUUCGCCAUUUAAAGUGGUACGCGAGCUGGGUUUAGAACGUCGUGAGACAGUUCGGUCCCUAUCUGCCGUGGGCGCUGGAGAACUGAGGGGGGCUGCUCCUAGUACGAGAGGACCGGAGUGGACGCAUCACUGGUGUUCGGGUUGUCAUGCCAAUGGCACUGCCCGGUAGCUAAAUGCGGAAGAGAUAAGUGCUGAAAGCAUCUAAGCACGAAACUUGCCCCGAGAUGAGUUCUCCCUGAGACUUAGAGUCUCCUGAAGGAACGUUGAAGACGACGACGUUGAUAGGCCGGGUGUGUAAGCGCAGCGAUGCGUUGAGCUAACCGGUACUAAUGAACCGUGAGGCUUAACCUU
rnacentral:rRNA from 1 species